UGUAUAUAAAUGCCACUUAAUUGUAUCCUUUAAAAUGGUUAAUUUUAUGUGAUAUGAAUUUUGCCUCAAUUUAAAAAAUGCUAUAUAGAAUUUUUGUUUUUUUUUUUUUGCACAGCACUGUACUCAAUAUCCUGAAAACCUUUCUCAUAAUAAAAUAUCUAAAAAUGCUAGAUAUUAAAAAUAUUUUAACAUUUGUGCCUACACUUUCAAGAAAGCAUGAGAAAUCCUCAAAGGCUCAAAACCAAAUAAGAUCUAAACACUCAAGCAGCAACAAAGAAACAAUGGUUCACAAGGCACCCAUCUGCCAAUCUCCAGUAGAGUUCUCAGCAGACGCAAAGGACAAAGCCCACGGUGCAAACAAGAUGGGGAGCUGGAGCAAAAACCCCUCCUAUACUCAGGUGGAACCCCUGCAUGACUACUCCCUAUGAAAGUCAGUGAAUCAGAAAAACCUCAGCCCCACAAAGCAAGAUGGCAAGCCAAAUCGUGUGUCAGCGUCGGUUCUUGGUGGGGAGAGUGAAAAUACAUAAUUUUCCUGAGAAAUCUAACAGCCUUACUACAUCUUCAUCUCUAGGGAUAAGGCUGCCUGCCUUCAAAGUUUAAAAAAUCCUAAUGAGUGCUAAUUAUUUUUCUUCUAACUGCAGAGAUUCCUAGAUUCUUUUGGAAACCAGCAGUUACUUGGAGGAGAGUCCUUUUUUCUGGCCUCGACAGCCACCCUGGAAGUUCCCCGCUCCUGAGUUAGCAGCUCAGACAACAGAGGACAGAGGACAGUUGUUUUCCUCACCAUUUGUACUCCUUCCAUCAGAGUAUGCCCAUGGGCCCUCACUGACCCCCAACCUGAGUGCCGCCUCUGCUGAUGACUCCCUAGGCUUAUGCUGAAGCCUCCAAAAGCCCCUACAGUUAUAAGGGGACAGCCAACCAGGGAGCCAGUAUUAUCUGGGGGUUCUAACUGUACUGACCUGACUCCUUCAGAUGGGUAUGAGAAACCUUUGAAAAAAUACACUCUAAAGAAUUCUUUGUUUAUGACAUAGGGUUAGAGGGGGAAAAAUAAAUAAAUAAAAUAAAUAAAUCAAUAAAAAACCAAAAACAAAAACACCAAAAAAAGAAUUCUGUUUCCCCACAGUCUAUCUUUGCUGAUUUCAUUCUGAAAUUCUUAAAUCAGAUAUGCUUCUUGUCCUUUUUCUCCACAGAAGACUUAAUUGAAUUAUUUCAGAUCAACCAUAGUGGAGUUAUUUAGAUGGAAAAAAAAAUUAUUUGUCAAAAGAAAUUAAGAAUAGCAUUCCCCACACCAGAUCUUUAUAUGUCACUAACAAAAAGCAUACAAAGAAAAAUAACAUUCCACAUUCAACAGUCUCUAUAAACAAGUUGAUCCCCUGCCAGAACCUAUUCAAUUUGAAUUUGGCCAUGAGUAGUAUUCUCAUGUUGAUUUAUAACCUAAGACUCUUUACUAUUCAAGGCAAAACACAGCCUUGAGCUCUGGCAUUAAAACAGCAACCAACAAAUUAGCAUUAUCCUUGCAAAAUUCAACCAAACAUCUGCACCCAAACACCCUGAGACAAAGCACUUCAGAUUGGAAUAAAAUAUAAAACUGGAUUCACAUAUUU